rnacentral:piRNA from 1 species
UGCACGUAACAUACAGAAUAUAUGCAGGC